GACAGAGGAGCCAAGCGUUGUCCGGAGUAACUGGGCGUAAAGCGCACGCAGGUGGUUUGGCGCGUGGGGUGUGAAAGCUCUCGGCUUAACUGAGAGAGGCCACCUCAUACGGCCAAGCUCGAGCCCUGCAGAGGUCCACGGAAUUGCCGGUGUAGUGGUGAAAUGCGUAGAGAUCGGCAGGGACACCCAGGGGGAAACCAGUGGACUGGGCAGGCGCUGACACUCAUGUGCGAAAGCGUGGGGAGCGAACCGG
rnacentral:rRNA from 1 species